rnacentral:rRNA from 1 species
UACAGAGGGUGCAAGCGUUAAUCGGAGUGACUGGGCGUAAAGGGCGCGUAGGCGGUUUUGUAAGUGAGAUGUGAAAGGCCUGGGCUUAACCUAGGAACGGCAUCUUAGACUAUGAGACUAGAGUGCAGUAGAGGGUGGCGGAAUUUCCGGUGUAGCGGUGAAAUGCGUAGAGAUCGGAAGGAACACCAGUGGCGAAGGCGGCCACCUGGACUGUCACUGACGCUGAGGCGCGAGAGCGUGGGUAGCAAAC